GAUGAACGCUGGCGGCGUGCUUAACACAUGCAAGUCGAACGGAAAGGCCAGUGCUUGCACUGGUGCUCGAGUGGCGAACGGGUGAGUAACACGUGGGUGAUCUGCCCUGCACUUUGGGAUAAGCCUGGGAAACUGGGUCUAAUACCAGAUAGGACCAUGCUUUGGAUGGUGUGGUGGAAAGUUUUUUCGGUGUGGGAUGAGCUUGCGGCCUAUCAGCUUGUUGGUGGGGUAAUGGCCUACCAAGGCGUCGACGGGUAGCCGGCCUGAGAGGGUGUACGGCCACAUUGGGACUGAGAUACGGCCCAGACGCCUACGGGAGGCAGCAGUGGGGAAUAUUGCACAAUGGGCGCAAGCCUGAUGCAGCGACGCCGCGUGGGGGAUGACGGCCUUCGGGUUGUAAACUCCUUUCGCAACUGACGAAGCUUUUUGUGACGGUAGGCUGAGAAGAAGCACCGGCUAACUACGUG
rnacentral:rRNA from 1 species